rnacentral:rRNA from 1 species
GACGAACGCUGGCGGCGUGCUUAAUACAUGCAAGUCGAGCGAGGUUACUGUUUCGGAUCCCUUCGGGGUGAAGAAGCUUUAACCUAGCGGCGGACGGGUGAGUAACGCGUGGGUAACCUACCCCAAAGUCCGGGAUAACAGCGGGAAACCGCUGCUAAUACCGGAUGCCUUUACCUUGGGGCAUCUUGAGGUAAAGAAAGGUAACGCUUUGGGAUGGGCCCGCGGUCCCAUUAGCUAGUUGGUGAGGUAACGGCUCACCAAGGCGACGAUGGGUAGCCGGCCUGAGAGGGUGGACGGCCACACUGGGACUGAGACACGGCCCAGACUCCUACGGGAGGCAGCAGUAGGGAAUAUUGCGCAAUGGACGGAAGUCUGACGCAGCGACGCCGCGUGAGCGAUGAAGGUCUUCGGAUCGUAAAGCUCUGUCCUUGGGGAAGAAGGUCUUCGGGACUUGACGGUACCCAAGAAGAAAGCCCCGGCUAACUACGUG